rnacentral:rRNA from 1 species
GAUGAACGCUGGCGGCGUGCCUAAUACAUGCAAGUCGAGCGAACGGACGAGAAGCUUGCUUCUCUGAUGUUAGCGGCGGACGGGUGAGUAACACGUGGAUAACCUACCUAUAAGACUGGGAUAACUUCGGGAAACCGGAGCUAAUACCGGAUGAUAUUUUGAACCGCAUGGUUCAAAAGUGAAAGACGGUCUUGCUGUCACUUAUAGAUGGAUCCGCGCUGCAUUAGCUAGUUGGUAAGGUAACGGCUUACCAAGGCAACGAUGCAUAGCCGACCUGAGAGGGUGAUCGGCCACACUGGAACUGAGACACGGUCCAGACUCCUACGGGAGGCAGCAGUAGGGAAUCUUCCGCAAAGGGCGAAAGCCUGACGGAGCAACGCCGCGUGAGUGAUGAAGGUCUUCGGAUCGUAAAACUCUGUUAUUAGGGAAGAACAUAUGUGUAAGUAACUGUGCACAUCUUGACGGUACCUAAUCAGAAGGCCACGGCUAACUACGUG